UACGUAGGGGGCAAGCGUUGUCCGGAUUUAUUGGGCGUAAAGAGCGUGUAGGCGGCUAGAUAGGUCCGUUGUGAAAACUCGAGGCUCAACCUCGAGACGCCGGUGGAAACCAUCUAGCUAGAGUCCGGAAGAGGAGAGUGGAAUUCCUGGUGUAGCGGUGAAAUGCGCAGAUAUCAGGAGGAACACCGGUGGCGAAGGCGGAUCUCUGGGCCGAUACUGACGCUGAGGAGCGAAAGCGUGGGGAGCGAACAGG
rnacentral:rRNA from 1 species